rnacentral:rRNA from 1 species
AUUGAACGCUGGCGGCAGGCUUAACACAUGCAAGUCGGACGGUAACAGGGAGGAAGCUUGCUUUUCUUGUGACGAGUGGCGGACGGGUGAGUUAUGCUUGGGAAUCUGUUUUAUUGAGGGGGAUAAUACGGGAAACUGUAGAUAAUACCGCGUAAUAUCGAGAGAUUAAAGUGUGGGACCGUAAGGCCACAUGCCAUAGAGUGAGCCCAAGUGGGAUUAGGUAGUUGGUGGGGUAAAGGCCUACCAAGCCGUCGAUCUCUAGCUGGUUUGAGAGGAUGACCAGCUACACUGGGACUGAGACACGGCCCAGACUCCUACGGGAGGCAGCAGUGGGGAAUAUUGCCCAAUGGGCGCAAGCCUGAUGCAGCCAUGCCGCGUGAAUGAAGAAGGCCUUUGGGUUGUAAAGUUCUUUCGGUGGUGAGGAAGGUUGUAAUGUUAUUAGCAUUAUAAUUUGACGUUAGCCACAGAAGAAGCACCGGCUAACUCCGUGCCAGCAGCCGCGGUAAUACGGAGGGUGCGAGCGUUAAUCGGAAUAACUGGGCGUAAAGGGCACGCAGGCGGAUACUUAAGUGAGGUGUGAAAGCCCUGGGCUUAACCUAGGAAUUGCAUUUCAUACUGGGUAUUUAGAGUAUUUUAGGGAGGGGUAGAAUUCCACGUGUAGCGGUGAAAUGCGUAGAGAUGCGGAGGAAUACCGAAGGAGAAGGCAGCCCCUUGGGGGAAUACUGACGCUCAUGUGUGAAAGCGUGGGGAGCAAACAGG